AAAAGUUUCAUGCUUUCAUUGAAACAGAAUGAUAACAAAUAAGGGCCCUGGAAGUUUAGGUCUCUAGCUUAUGGAUUAUAAAGUUUUGCUUCAAUAUAUGCUCCCAAGGUAUUUCAGCUCAAAAUGGUCAGUGGCCAAAUUUCACUUGCAGGAAGGUCUACAGCAUAUUGUUGCCUUUGGCAAGCGGAAGAAUACCAUCAUGAACAUUGGCGUGGAUGGAAGCAGAAAAUGAUG